GACGAACGCUGGCGGCGUGGAUUAGGCAUGCAAGUCGAACGGUAGGAUACCUUCGGGUAUCUGAGAGUGGCGAACGGGUGAGUAACACGUAGGUGAUCUACCCUCAAGAUUGGGACAACCCAGGGAAACUUGGGCUAAUACCGGAUGAAAGCAGCAGUGAUGUUGUUUGAAAGGUGGCGUAAGCUGCCGUUUGGGGAUGAGCCUGCGCUCUAUUAGUUAGUUGGCGGGGUAAAGGCCCACCAAGGCGAUGAUAGAUAGGCGGCCUUAACGGGUGGUCGCCCACACUGGGAUUGAGAUACGGCCCAGACUCCUACGGGAGGCAGCAGUCGAGAAUAGUCUACAAUGGCCGAAAGGCUGAUAGUGCGACGCCGCGUGAACGAAGAAGCCCUUCGGGUGUAAAGUCUUUUAUAUGUGAGCAGUGCUUUCUAUGUGAACAGCAUGGGGAGAGAGAUAUUAGCAUAUGAAUAAGCAACGGCUAACUCCGUGCCAGCACG
rnacentral:rRNA from 1 species